rnacentral:rRNA from 1 species
AACGAACGCUGGCGGCAUGCCUAACACAUGCAAGUCGAACGAGACCUUCGGGUCUAGUGGCGCACGGGUGCGUAACGCGUGGGAACCUGCCCUUAGGUUCGGAAUACCUCCCCGAAAGGGGUGCUAAUACCGGAUAAUGUCUUCGGACCAAAGAUUUAUCGCCUUUGGAUGGGCCCGCGUUGGAUUAGCUAGUUGGUAGGGUAAAAGCCUACCAAGGCGACGAUCCAUAGCUGGUCUGAGAGGAUGAUCAGCCACGCUGGGACUGAGACACGGCCCAGACUCCUACGGGAGGCAGCAGUGGGGAAUAUUGGACAAGGGGCGAAAGCCUGAUCCAGCAAUGCCGCGUGAGUGAUGAAGGCCUUAGGGUUGUAAAGCUCUUUUACCCGGGAUGAUAAUGACAGUACCGGGAGAAUAAGCUCCGGCUAACUCCGUG